rnacentral:rRNA from 1 species
GAUGAACGCUAGCGGCAGGCUUAAUACAUGCAAGUCGAACGGGAUUCCGGGUAGCAAUAUCUGGAUGAGAGUGGCGCACGGGUGCGUAACGCGUAUGCAACCUACCUUUAACUGGGGCACAACCAGGAGAAAUCUUGGCUAAUAUCCCAUAACAUUGCGAUGAGGAGUCUCAUUGCAAUUAAAGCUCCGGCGGUUAUAGAUGGGCAUGCGUGACAUUAGCUAGUUGGUAAGGUAACGGCUUACCAAGGCGACGAUGUCUAGGGGUUCUGAGAGGAUUAUCCCCCACACUGGUACUGAGACACGGACCAGACUCCUACGGGAGGCAGCAGUAAGGAAUAUUGGGCAAUGGGCGCAAGCCUGACCCAGCCAUGCCGCGUGAAGGAUGAAGGCCCUAUGGGUUGUAAACUUCUUUUAAUACGGGAAAAAACCUUCGGUCGUGAACCGGAGCUGAUGGUACCGUAAGAUAAGCAUCGGCUAACUCCGUGCCAGCAGCCGCGGUAAU